rnacentral:rRNA from 3 species
CUCAUAAAGUGCGUCGUAGUCCGGAUUGGAGUCUGCAACUCGACUCCAUGAAGUCGGAAUCGCUAGUAAUCGUGGAUCAGAAUGCCACGGUGAAUACGUUCCCGGGCCUUGUACACACCGCCCGUCACACCAUGGGAGUGGGUUGCAAAAGAAGUAGGUAGCUUAACCUUCGGGAGGGCGCUUACCACUUUGUGAUUCAUGACUGGGGUGAAGUCGUAACAAGGUAACCGUAGGGGAACCUGC